rnacentral:rRNA from 1 species
UUAAACGCUAGCGUGGAAUGCCUUACACACUGCAAGGUCGAACGGCAAGCAACGGGACUUUCGGGUCUGGGUUGGGCCGAAAGUGGGCGAAACGGGGGUUGAAAGUUAAUUGUUAUCCGGGGAACGUGCCCCAAGUUAGCCGGGGGGGAAUAACUACGCCGAAAAGCCGUUAGCUAAAUACCCCCAUACCCCCCCUUAACGGG